GCAUCUGUAGCUCAGUUGGUUAGAGCGCUGCACCGGAAUCGCAGUGCCGCAUGAAGUUCGAUUCCUGCCAGAGUGCC